AACUUUUAACAAUGGAUCUCUUGGUUCUGGCAUCGAUGAAGAACGCAGCGAAAUGCGAUAAGUAGUGUGAAUUGCAGACUUUAGUGAAUCAUCGAAUCUUUGAACGCACAUUGCGCCCCUUGGUAUUCCAUUGGGCAUGCCUGUUCGAGCGUCAUU
rnacentral:rRNA from 1 species